rnacentral:rRNA from 1 species
AUGGUCGAUCUAGGGAAUGAGGGAGGUGACGCACCACUUGCGGAGGAUGGUCAAAACCUACCCCCCGCCGCGGCCGACGCACUUGUUGCUCCGGCCGUUGCUCCCGUCGCCCCCAUUAACCCGAGGGCCCCGUUGACCGCGGCCGAUAUUCUUUCAAUGUUUGCGGACCUCAAAACUGCUAUGUUGAAAGAAGUUCGCUCCUCGGUCAAGGAGGAAAUUGAUGCUCGCUUAAAGCCCUCGACAUCCGCCUCAAACUCAUUUGAUCCAAAUGCGGUUCAUGAUGCGGAUGAUUCGAGAGAACCUCUUGCAUCCCCGGCUCGCACUCAAGUUCCCAAGUACAAUGCCGUGGAACCCUUUUACUCACCACAACCCUUGCAACACCCUCGCAUUAAUCCUGUGGGGCCUCCGCCCCCUUUGAAAGCUAACGCGUUUGCUAAGUGGAAGCUAGAUAUGGAGUCUCAUAUUCGCAGUGCAUCUACACAACUAUGGUGGAUUGUGGUCAACGGUUUCAAUCCCAAGGAUCCCAUGAAUCUCACUCCAAGAGAAGCGGUUGAUGAUCAACUCAAUGCUACCGCCCACAACAUGUUGCGCACCGCGGUGACCGAUGACUAUAGUGACUCCAUUGCUCUACUCAAGACCGCCGAGGAAAUUUGGGAUUGCCUUGAGGAGGCCCUCGAAGGUGAUGAAGCAAUUCGAAGAUCUCGGUUGGCUUUGCUCAAGCAAGAAGUCAACCUAUUUGUGAGAAAUGAGGGUGAGUCCGCAGAAGAGGUAUAUCGAAGGUUGAAGUCUCUUGUGCUCAAUUUGAGAACCUUUGGGUGCACUUGGGCAAAUGAUGAUUUCAUUAAGGACAAGUUCAUUGAUGUUAUGGUUCUCACGGAACAUACCAUGGUGAUGAUGAUACAUCAACGCCCGGACUAUCAAAAGUUGACCGCGGCACAAGUUGUAUCCACUUUCUCAACUCAUGUUCUUUUGGAGACCAAGUCCAAGAAGACCUUUGCAUUGAACUCAAAUCAUCAUUUGCAUUGA